UACAAUGGAUAAGACUUUGUUCUUAGUAUAAGUGUAGGCGAUUUUUUGAUUGGAAAGUAAAGGAGCAAUAACCAACACUCUUGAUAGAAUAAGAAAUUGGUUAUUGUUCCUUUACUUAUUGCUCUUUUAUUUACAUAAGUUUUUUUUUACUUCAGCAUAARAAAAAGUAUUCUAGUCUUAGGGAUUGGUUUCUGAUUCCGUAUCAUACUUUUUUUCCUUARAUGUGCAUUUUUUUAUAAUUUAUAUACAUUCUUUUCAACCCUUUGUAAGGCUUUGUGAAAUUAUUAUCUUCUAGUUUUUUU
rnacentral:misc_RNA from 1 species